rnacentral:rRNA from 1 species
AUGCGGGAGAAGUACAAUGGAGGCGACCAAAUUCGCACGGCAAGCGGUUCUGGUAUGGAUAUCACACACAUUGGUAGUUCAAUUGUUAAAACCCCCGUGAAAAAUUUACACUUGACCAAUGUCUUGCAUGUUCCUCAAACCUCUAAAAAUCUUGUUUCCGUUCAUCGAUUCACUCUUGAUAACAAUGUUCUUAUUGAAUUCUAUCCUUAUUUUUUCUUGGUUAAGGACUUGAAAACAAGGAGAGUCAUUCUUAGAGGACGGUGCGUGGGAGGACUCUACGCACUCAUAUCAUUAUCAUCAUCAUCAUCUUCAUGGUCCAAUAAACAAGCAAAUAUUGUCACCAAGCUAUCUACAUCAAGGUGGCAUAGUCGUUUAGGUCAUCCAUCUUCAGUCAUAGUUAGAUAUGUUCUUAGCAAAAAUAAACUCUCUUAUGAGCCUAGUAGUGAGUCAGUUUGUGAUCCGUGUCAACAAGCAAAAAGUCAUCAAUUACCUUACCCAAUUUCUACUAGUGUGUCUACUGCCCCUUUACAACUUAUAUUUUCAGAUGUAUGGGGGCCAACUCCUAUUUCAGUUGGUAGAUUUUCCUAUUAUGUAAGUUUUAUUGAUGACUGUAGUAAAUUUACUUGGAUUUAUCUGUUGAAAAAAUGA